rnacentral:rRNA from 1 species
UACGAAGGUGGCAAGCGUUGUCCGGAUUUAUUGGGCUUAAAGGGUGCGUAGGCGGUCUAUUAAGUCAGUUGUGAAAUACGGCAGCUCAACCGUCGAGGUGCAAUUGAUACUGAUGGACUUGAGUACUGAUGAGGUAAGCGGAAUGGACGGUGUAGCGGUGAAAUGCUUAGAUAUCGGAAGGAACAUCAGUGGCGAAGGCGACUUCCUGGACCAAUACUGACGCUCAGGUGCGAAAGCGUGGGGAGCAAACAGG